AGUGAACGCUGGCGGUAGGCCUAACACAUGCAAGUCGAACGGCAGCACAGUAAGAGCUUGCUCUUACGGGUGGCGAGUGGCGGACGGGUGAGGAAUACAUCGGAAUCUACUUUUUCGUGGGGGAUAACGUAGGGAAACUUACGCUAAUACCGCAUACGACCUACGGGUGAAAGCAGGGGAUCUUCGGACCUUGCGCGAUUGAAUGAGCCGAUGUCGGAUUAGCUAGUUGGCGGGGUAAAGGCCCACCAAGGCGACGAUCCGUAGCUGGUCUGAGAGGAUGAUCAGCCACACUGGCACUGAGACACGGUCCAGAAUCCUACGGGAGGCAGCAGUGGGGAAUAUUGGAACAGGGGCGCAAGGCUGAUCCAGGCAUACCGCGUGGGUGAAGACGGCCUUCGGGUUGGAAAGCCCUUUUGUUGAGAAAGAAAAGCAGCAGGUUAAUACCCCGCUGUUCUGACGGUACCCAAAGAAUAAGCACCGGCUAACUUCGUA
rnacentral:rRNA from 1 species